GACGUAGGAGGCGAGCGUUGUCCGGAUUCAUUGGGCGUAAAGAGCUCGUAGGCGGUUUGUCGCGUCGGCUGUGAAAACUCGGGGCUCAACCCCGAGCCUGCAGUCGAUACGGGCAGACUAGAGUGCUGUAGGGGAGACUGGAAUUCCUGGUGUAGCGGUGAAAUGCGCAGAUAUCAGGAGGAACACCGGUGGCGAAGGCGGGUCUCUGGGCCGAUACUGACGCUGAGGAGCGAAGGCGUGGGGAGCGAACAGG
rnacentral:rRNA from 1 species